UACGGGGGGUGCAAGCGUUGCUCGGAAUUAUUGGGCGUAAAGCGUACGCAGGCGGCUCAGCAAGUCGAGUGUGAAAACCCGGGGCUCAACCCCGGACGUGCAUUCGAAACUGUCGAGCUUGAGUGCGGGAGAGGGAAGCGGAAUUCCUGGUGUAGAGGUGAAAUUCGUAGAUAUCAGGAGGAACACCGGUGGCGAAAGCGGCUUCCGGGGCCGAUAUUGACUUUCAAGUACGAAAGCGUGGGGAGCAAACAGG
rnacentral:rRNA from 1 species